rnacentral:ncRNA from 1 species
CACAGCAGCCAUCACUACUACGGAUUGAAAGAUUUAAAGAGGUUUUAUGACUGGCUUUCUGAAGCGGCUUUAGGGUCGCUUCGGCGUGCCGCGAAGAUGACAAGAUUUGAUUAUUUAGAGGAAAUAAAAGUCGUAACAAGGUUUCCAUAGAUGAACCUGCGAAAG